ACGUAGGGUGCAAGCGUUGUCCGGAAUUAUUGGGCGUAAAGAGCUCGUAGGCGGUUUGUCGCGUCUGCUGUGAAAACCUGGGGCUUAACCCUGGGCCUGCAUUGGAUACUGGCGGGCUAGAGUGCGGUAGAGGAUGGCGGAAUUCCCGGUGUAGCAGUGAAAUGCGUAGAGAUCGGGAGGAACAUCCGUGGCGAAGGCGGCCAUCUGGACCAGCACUGACACUGAGGCACGAAAGCGUGGGGAGCAAACAGGA
rnacentral:rRNA from 1 species